CGGUCACCGAUAUCUAGACCACUUGAAAGAUGUUCAUUCGCAGUUGGCAAUAUCCAUUAGCAGCAGAUGCUUCCAUAAUAACAGCACACAUUGACAUGAGUGCACUUUUUGAUUCAUUUCUCUGUUUGUAGACAAAGUAGAAAUUCUUACACUGAUGUCAUCUUCUAAGUAGUGAAACGCACAGUGAAAGAAGUUAUAGAAGACAAAUAAUAAAUAGGAUGAGGAUCCGAACUUGGCCAUAACAGAAAUGAGAUUUUUGUUUUCUUUUAUUUGGUCAUGUUCAUGAACAUUUCUGACCAGCGUCUAGAAUGAACUGACCCGAACAUUAAAACUAGGAUGGAUUAAAAGUAGAUACGUUUUGGGAACCAAAAGAAAAGAUUUAAGAUCGUACAUUUGAUAAAAAAUGUCAAAAUAUUUCUAAGCUUACGCUUGUAUAUGUUAUUAAAACAAAACGCAAUCUUAAACUUUAUGGCCUCAUGAGAUCGCAAAGACCUUCCUUCAGGGAACAGUACCAGGAUAAAGAAGAAGGAAAGACAGAGAAAGCGAUGGGAAGGCAACAUAAAAGAAUGGAUGGGACUGUUAUUGAAAGAGAUUCCAUUCAAUGCAAAAGACGGAGAGUAAUGGAGAAAGACAGUAAACAGAUCCUGUGUGGGGCCCUAUCGGUUCAGAGAACAACGACUAAUUGUGGCCCAGUUUCAAUGGGAGGUGGAAGAAAUAACGUGUUGAACUUUUGUACAAGACAGAAAUACAAGAGCAGGGCCGGUCCUACAGGUUGCGGGGCCCACUGCGGCCGCAUAGGUUGCAGUGGCCUAAGACCGCCCCUUGACAAGAGUGAGCUGAUAGAAGCUUUGUACAAAUAAAGACAGCCUUCGAAACCCAUUCUCAGCAUGUCGCAUCCACAGUUUAAGAAACGCUGAAGAGAGAGAAUAUUAUGUGUAAAGAAUUUUUCAAAUUAGGCAACAAGGUGUAACUACUGUGUAAUGAACUUUUACUUGUUACAGAUAACAGUUCUUAAGUAGGUACACAUAUUACAAUUUUCUAAUCAAGCGAUUGAAUAGGCCUGUGUUAUCAGUAAGUUAGUUAUGAGCUAUUUUUAGAAUAGCUUUUGAAUUUUAAAUAAAAACAAAUAGUGAAUUCUAAUUCAUGUACUUGAGUGUCACGGCCCAUUGUUCAGACAUGGGGAUUUCGACAGACCGGUGUCUUGGAAAGUAAUCUCCCCCAUUCCUUUUUUUUUCUUUUCUUCCUUACAGUAACUGCAAGACACUGUAGCUCGCAAGCAAAAUGUUAUCACUCUUCAUUCCUAUUCAUUUCAUCUGUUCUCAAAUCUCUUUAUGCUCCUUCUGGGUCUUAUCUUAUCUUAUCUUAUAUAAUACAGACGUUACUUCAAAAAAGAAGAUGAUUACGUCCUACGCGUCAUGCAUUUAGUCAUGCAUAUUAACCAAUGACUUAAAUUCUGCCAAGUCACUGGUUUUCCUGGCUAGCUCAGGCAACCCAUUCCAUGCUCUAAUAGCACUAGGGAAGAAGGAGUAUUUGUACAAAUUUGUCCUAGCAUAUGGGACGAGGUAUGUGCCUUUAUCUUUGUGUCUUUCAGAGUAUUUUAUUAAAUUUUGUUUUUGUAUUUGAAGAUUAUGGUUCAGUGUUUUAUGUAUGAUUGCUACUUUACUUUUGAGCCUUCUGUCCUGAAGGCUUUCUAAAUUUAGUGAUUUUACUAAAGGUGUUACUCUAGUCAAAUGUGAAUAUUCGUUUGUUAUGAAUCUCACUGCUCUAUUUUGUGUCUGUUCCAGUUUCUUAAUGUUUUCUUGAGUUGAGGGGUCUUAUAGUAAAUUAGCUUUUUCUUUCAAUUUUUAAGGUCAAAUAAUAAAAAAGAUUGAAUUAUC